rnacentral:misc_RNA from 1 species
CGGGGCUGGGAGGGCGAGG